UACGAAGGGGGCUAGCGUUGCUCGGAAUCACUGGGCGUAAAGGGUGCGUAGGCGGGUCUUUAAGUCAGGGGUGAAAUCCUGGAGCUCAACUCCAGAACUGCCUUUGAUACUGAAGAUCUUGAGUUCGGGAGAGGUGAGUGGAACUGCGAGUGUAGAGGUGAAAUUCGUAGAUAUUCGCAAGAACACCAGUGGCGAAGGCGGCUCACUGGCCCGAUACCUGACGCUGAGGCACGAAAGCGUGGGAGCAACAGGG
rnacentral:rRNA from 1 species